rnacentral:rRNA from 1 species
CAGCCGCCGCGGUAAUACAGAGGGUGCGAGCGUUAAUCGGAUUUACUGGGAGUAAAGCGUGCGUAGGCGGCUUUUUAAGUCGGAUGUGAAAUCCCUGAGCUUAACUUAGGAAUUGCAUUCGAUACUGGGAAGCUAGAGUAUGGGAGAGGAUGGUAGAAUUCCAGGUGUAGCGGUGAAAUGCGUAGAGAUCUGGAGGAAUACCGAUGGCGAAGGCAGCCAUCUGGCCUAAUACUGACGCUGAGGUACGAAAGCAUGGGGAGCAAACAGGAUUAGAUACCCGAGUAGUCCCUGUCUCUUAUAC